GCGCGGAGCACUCGCCCGCCCCACCCCCCGUUCUCACUCCCUACCCGCUCCCAGCCGCCCGACGCCGGCCCGCCUCCCCGACCCGGCACUGACCGGGCCUUCUAGGAACCUGGGGGAACCCACCAUGGCGACGUUCUCACGGCUCGAGUCUCCGGAACUCAGACUGCACACGCCAGCACCUGACGGCCCGUCGCGCGUCCACUAUGCUCCUUUGUCCUUGGGAUUCUCCAUUCAAGAAUACUGGAGUCGGUUGCCCGCGGCCUCCUCCAGAGGAUCAUCCCGACCCAGGGAAGGAACCUAGGUCUCUUCUGUCUAACCUGCACUGGCAGGAGCAAGUGUCUUCUAAUAUCAUGGCUGCAGUCACGAUCCUCAGUGAUUUUGGAGCAAAAGUAAAUAAAGUUUCUCACUGUU